UCACUGAGUUGAAAAAACAAAUUCGCCUCUUGACGGGGUGUCGAAUAUGUCGUGAAAGCUGUAUCUCACUGGACUGGAGCACAAGAGGCUGGGAGCAAGCUAAAGUGAGAGAAACAAGGUUGGGGAGAAAGAUCAGAAGUGGGUACUUACAUGU